GGCGGCGUGCCUAACACAUGCAAGUCGAGCGGGGACGAUGCGACGGAUAGGAAGUUUCGGAUGGACUUGAAGAUGCAUUGUUCUAGCGGCGGACGGGUGAGUAACGCGUGAGCAACCUGUCCCUUACAGGGGGAUAACACAGCGAAAGUUGUACUAAUACCGCAUAAGACCACGGGAGGACAUCCUUCAGGGGUCAAAGGAGGAAUCCGGUAAGGGGUGGGCUCGCGUCCGAUUAGAUAGUUGGUGAGGUAACGGCCCACCAAGUCGACGAUCGGUAGCCGACCUGAGAGGGUGAUCGGCCACAUUGGGACUGAGACACGGCCCAAACUCCUACGGGAGGCAGCAGUGGGGAAUAUUGGGCAAUGGGGGGAAACCCUGACCCAGCAACGCCGCGUGAGGGAAGAAGGUUUUCGGAUCGUAAACCUCUGUCCUUGGUGAAGAGGAAGAGACGGUAGCCAAGGAGGAAGCCCCGGCUAACUACGUGCCAGCCGCAGC
rnacentral:rRNA from 1 species